rnacentral:rRNA from 1 species
AUUGAACGCUGGCGGCAGGCCUAACACAUGCAAGUCGAGCGGAUGAAGGGAGCUUGCUCCUGGAUUCAGCGGCGGACGGGUGAGUAAUGCCUAGGAAUCUGCCUGGUAGUGGGGGAUAACGUCCGGAAACGGGCGCUAAUACCGCAUACGUCCUGAGGGAGAAAGUGGGGGAUCUUCGGACCUCACGCUAUCAGAUGAGCCUAGGUCGGAUUAGCUAGUUGGUGGGGUAAAGGCCUACCAAGGCGACGAUCCGUAACUGGUCUGAGAGGAUGAUCAGUCACACUGGAACUGAGACACGGUCCAGACUCCUAAGGGAGGCAGCAGUGGGGAAUAGUGGACAAUGGGCGAAAGCCUGAUCCAGCCAUGCCGCGUGUGUGAAGAAGGUCUUCGGAUUGUAAAGCACUUUAAGUUGGGAGGAAGGGCAGUAAGUUAAUACCUUGCUGUUUUGACGUUACCAACAGAAUAAGCACCGGCUAACUUCGUG